AUUUGAAGUAUACGAGUAAUUUGAGGCCAAAUAUGCUGAAUUGGCUUAGGUGGGAUGUCAAGAAAGAUACCAUCUGAAGAAAUAAGUUAGCUGUUUUGUAGAAAGAUUAUUCAUAUUCAAUUAACUUUUCGUUAGAGUUAUCUCCCGUGUGUCAAGAUUCUAGAAUAGGAGCAAUUAUUUGUUCAAAAAAUGAAAAAUGAUUAGCUAAUUUGGUGCGCAAUUUCGAAGCUGUUCUGCGCAAUUUGGGGGCACACACAUUUAAGUUCACUGUGUGGGCUUUCCUAUCAUGAGCUGGUUUAGCCGUUUCCAGUUUUACAUUAGAAAAGCAUAUGAUUUCCUUGUGAUGCACUACUAGGUCUCAGUCCUCUCUACAGCUCACAAAGAGCUUAUCAAUACAUGAAAGGUCAUAGAGACAUUCAUCCUGCGUUCCAGUGGCUUUGGCGUUCUUGCAGCCAACUUAAACAUAAAAUCUUCUUUUGGCUGCUCUUGAAAGAUAGGUUAAAUGUCAGAUGAAUGCUCAGAAGAAAGACAAUGUAUUUGGAUGAUUAUACUUGUGUUUUCUGCACCUGUCAAGACGAUGAGACAAUUACACAUCUGUUCUUGAAUUGCCCUUUCUCUCAACAGUGCUGGAUCAGUAUUGGGUUGCAUAUUCAAUCUAAUUUGGGUCCCCUAGCAGUCCUAGAAGAUCUACGAAGGCAAAUUGCAGAACCUUUUUUCAUGGAAGUGAUAACACUCAUGUCAUGGAGUAUUUGGACUGCACAGAAUAACUUCAUAUUCAAGAAUGAAGCCUUCUCAAUUCAAGGGACCAAAAAUGCCUUCAUAAAGGAAUUUGCCUUGGUUAUCCAAAGAGCAAAGAAAAAAUAUUUUCCAAACAUUGUACAAUGGCUACAAUCACAAGCUUAGUUGUUGGUGUCGAGUGGGUUUUCUUUUCUUUUUCUUUUCUCUUGUAAGCAGUCAGUGGUGUUACUCUCUUUUUUUUUCUUUAAUAUAUAACCAGUAGGGGAUCACACUCCUCCUGUUACCUCAAAAAAAAAAGGAGAGACAAAGAGAAAAUUUGAGAGUGUUUAUGCUGGUGGAACCAUGGAUACCCCGGAUUCAGGCAAAGUGUUCCAGUAUUGGCAUUGUUGUGGAUCGGAAGAUCCAUUUGAUGUGGGCUGUACUGCUUCUCCUCACUGUUCAUAUGAUGAUUGAAUGGCUCAUGAUUGCAUUAUGUUCUUUUGAUUCUAUUGUAUUUUCACAUGGAUACCAGUUCCCAGGUUGUUAGAUUGUUCUUACAUGGGAGAAUGGAUGGAUGCAUUGAACUCUGUCAUAAUAUAGUCUCUUGUUUACCUCUUUAAUACUUAAUCCUUGAGUGUUCCCUCUGGAUAUAUUUAGUUUAUUCGUUCGUUGAUAUAUUGUAUUGUAAAUUCAAGUCUACUCACUAUUCAAUAUUCGUUCAUUGUA